rnacentral:rRNA from 1 species
GAUGAACGCUAGCGGAAGGCUUAAUACAUGCAAGUCGAACGGUAACAGGUUCUUCGGAACGCUGACGAGUGGCGCACGGGUGAGUAACGCGUACACAAUCUGCCCUAAUCUGGGGGAAAGUCGCUGGAAACGGCGAAUAAUCCCGCAUAAGACCACAGUAUCGCAUGAUACAGGGGGUUAAAGCUUCGGCGGAAUAGGAUGAGUGUGCGUACUAUUAGCUAGUUGGUAAGGUAACGGCUUACCAAGGCUACGAUAGUUAGGGGGCGUGAGAGCGUGAUCCCCCACACGGGUACUGAGACACGGACCCGACUCCUACGGGAGGCAGCAGUAAGGAAUAUUGGUCAAUGGAGGGAACUCUGAACCAGCCAUUCCGCGUGCGGGAUGAAGGCCCUCUGGGUUGUAAACCGCUUUUAUCAGGGAAGAAAUGCAUUCAUUUAUGAAUGAGUUGACGGUACCUGAGGAUAAGCACCGGCUAACUCCGUG